rnacentral:sRNA from 1 species
CAGGUGCUGGCUUGCCUUCCUUCUAAUGAGGGUGCUAUCCAGGGGUGGCUUUCAAAGAGUGAAGGGCAGGCACCUACCUCAGCUCAUGCCCCAGUCAGCUGCUCCUCAGGUGGCUGAGGAGGGCCUGUUCCCAAGAAUGAUACUGCAGACAAAUAUAAAGGCCAUUGUUCCCCUAGGUCUCUGCCUGGGGAGGUUGAAACUCCGGAAGCUGCCCAAAGUGGCUGUGCUUAUGAGCGGGGCCUUGAAGCCCAAGGAUAUGCAAUUUUCUUUUUUUUUUUUUGAGAUGGAGUCUUGCCCUGUCGCUAGGCUGGAGUGCAGUGGUGUCAUCUUGGCUCACUGCAACCUCCGACUCCCUGGUUCAAGCGAUUCUUCUGCCUCAGCGUCCCGAGUAGCUGGGAUUACAGGCAUAUGCCACCACACCCAGAUAGUUUUUGUAUUUUUAGUAGAGAUGGGGUUUCACCAUGUUGGCCAGGAUGGUCUCGAUCUCCUGACCUUGUGAUCCACCCGCCUCAGCCUCCAAAAGUGCUGGGAUUACAGUCAUGAGCCACCACGCCUGCCCGGAUAUGUGAAUAUUUUAUCUAGCAGUGAAUGAAGGUGUGGGGUGCCCAGCAAGGAGCUCUAGGGGUCUCAGUCAUGAGGACACAGCAGGAAAAGGACAGACGAGAAUGGCAGCAUGUGCAUGGUCAGUGCUGCCCAAAGGCAGGGCAGGCAGGAGGAUGGGGUGGGAUGGUGGGGGUCCCAGCAGGCUGGGGGGCAGGGCACCUGCCCGCCUAGCACAGUUGGGCGCAGCAAGCUGAGGGGCCAGAAGAAAACUAAAGGGUGUGGUGAUUCCAGCAAACCCAAGGUCAGAUUUCAGAGCAGAAAGUUGUCACUUGUAGAGCAGCAAGCAUCUGUCCUGUUGAUGUAGUCUAGGAGAUGCUGUCACAUCACCUGAUACUCUGGAGUCUUUCUGAGAUAGGUUGGCAUCCCAUUUACCCUGUAACACCCAAAACUUCUUAUGUCCUGUUCCCUACCUGGGCGUUGUGCAUGGGCUGGGAACGGGAAAACUCAGGCAGAGCAGAGACACAGAGGGGGCGUCUGGUAGAGACUGCGUGAGGAGCCCACUAGGAGAACCGUGGGAUGCCGGGCAAGUCUGCACUGCUGCGGUCUGAAGUCAGCCACAGACACAUGGGUUUCCAAGCGAAGCUCCCUCCCCAUGUGAUGGAGGUCACAGUCGCCCUCCCUGUCAUGCCUCCUUUCACCCUCCCAGCUGGGUCAGGUCCCCAGUCAGAGGCAGAGGUGAGCACAGUCUUGGGAAGCAACCUGCGGUCCACCCCCACCGCUCACCCCUGCCUUUACAGCUGCGUGCACUUCAGCCCUGGGAGGGCUGAUUCUCACAGAGCUAGAGCUCCUUAGUGGUCCUGGGACUCAGCUCUCCUGGGUCCCAGUCAGGACCCCCAUCCCAGUCCUGUGUGCAUUUGGGAACCAAGUCCUUAGGGCUUGAGUCUAAAUGGUCCUUCUGUAAGAAAGCUGAUUCUGGCACCAACAGAGAAACUGCCUCAGAUGAAGAGUGUUAGCACCCGAAGGGACCCCCAGGCCUGUCCUGACCCUCCCACCCCUGCUAUCGGCCCAACUUGUGUCCAUUUCCUGGAAGAACCGCUUCCAGCAGCCAGUGUGCUAUGCUUCCUCCUGGCUCUGCCCUGCACCCCCGGAACAGCCCCUGGGCUUACGGGAGACACUAGUCUCUGGGCUUCUGCAGCCAAUCAAGCUGCUGGCCCCUCCCUCCCAAGCACUGGAGGAGGUACUCGUUCUGUGGGCCGUGGCCCCUCCCUCCUGAGCACUGGAGGAGGCACUUGUUCUGUGGGCCGCGGCCCCUCCCUCCCCAGCACUGGAGGAGGCACUCGUUGUGUGGGCCCUGGCUCCUCCAUGUCUGAGGGAACUGCUCUGCUUCUCCUACAGUCCCUGAGAUUCUGCAGCUCAGCGAUGCCCUGCGGGACGACAUCCUGCCCGAGCUUGGGGUGCGGUUUGAAGACCACGAAGGACUGCCCACAGUGGUGAAACUGGUAGACAGAAACACCUUAUUAAAAGAGAGAGAAGAAAAGAGACGGGUUGAAGAGGAGAAGAGGAAGAAGAAAGAGGAGGCGGCCCGGAGGAAACAGGAACAAGAACACUCUGAAUCUGAGGGCUUGGAAGCAAGUUGAGGGCUGGAGGUAUGAGCAGAUGUCGUUCACAGUGUGGAGCCCCAGGUGCUGCUCGGGGGCAGUGACUGUGCCGUGUUGCGUGUUCUAGGCAGCAAAGCUGGCCAAGAUGAAGAUUCCCCCCAGUGAGAUGUUCUUGUCAGAAACCGACAAAUACUCCAAGUUUGAUGAAAAUGGUCUGCCCACACACGACAUGGAGGGCAAAGAGCUCAGCAAAGGGCAAGCCAAGAAGCUGAAGAAGCUCUUCGAGGCUCAGGAGAAGCUCUACAAGGAAUAUCUGCAGAUGGCCCAGAAUGGAAGCUUCCAGUGAGGGGGCACAGGACUGACUUUUUAAACCAUUGUGGACUAGUGGCUGCUGUCUGCCUCAGUGACAAUGUCCCAGCGCUCCUAUCAUGUUUACAGUCACCCUUGGGUCCUAAAUUAAGAGUUGUGUUCAUGUAGGUUCGUGUCGUCGUUGGCUCUGAGACAUUGAUAAUAAAUUUUUCUCAACAGUG